GAAUUCACAGAGAGUGAUGGCAGGAGCUGCAGAAGACAGACAGGAGCCCAGGUCUAAGGGGGUAUGACAGGGUGGCACAGCCAAUGACAACAAGACGGGCAGGGCAUGGCAGAGACUGCAGGCAAGCCUGGCAGGUGAGCUGGAGGACCUCAGGAGGAGAGAGGAGCAACAUGGAGUCCGGGAGCCCCAAGCUCCAGGCCUUGAGAUCUUCCCUUGGCAGAAGGGUCCCAGGGACAGGCAGCCGACUGAUUAAAAGGCAAGAUGAAAUGGCUGUUUUGUGUGAGACCAAACUGGUGAGCGCCGGGAACGUACUCCAGAGCUGCAUCCACCACACACUGUUCCUGUAAGAGACACACAGGGACACUCAGCCGCCACCCGCAGCCCGAACCCCACUGACACACGCGUGUUCCGCCAUGAAGGGCCAUCUACGAAGCAAUCCCAUUAGAACAGCAACAACCACCAGUGCCUGUUGGCGCUCACUCCAUCUUCGGUUUAAAUGAUGCACUCGCCAGCGCUUUAUCUCCCUGAAGAAAGCACUUAGAGCUUCUGUCUGUCACCUUAAUCCCACUCGGCUUCACUGAAAUUCAUAAGGACACUGAAGUCUCUCCUACAAAUUUUCAUCAGGCUUAAGGGGCAAAGGCCUUGCUGUCCCCCUAGGCCCCCGCCGUGACCCGAGGUUUUGGGAAUGGCCCUAAGGAUGCAGCUGCCGAGACGAGCUGCGGACCAGGCACUGGAAAACUGGAGGUGCCCACAGGUGACAUGUUUUGCAGGGCCUCAGAGUGUGAACCUAGGUCCACACUGACAGGGCAGGAUGCAGACAAGAGGAGCCAGGCGGGAAGGGCCCCUGAACCCCACGCAACCAUCUGCGGGCUGUCCUAAGAGUGCCCAAGUCAUGGGGGUCCCAGAUGCUGUUUUCUGCUUCAGCACAGGCAGAUGCUACCAUGAAAACUGCCCCGAACUCAAAGCCUCGCCCUGCUCAGAAGGUCCUGCUCUUGAAUGCUUCUGCCAUCUUCUAAAUUAUUAGAGUGCACACUUUAAACCAGGGAAACAGAGAAAGCAAAAGGGGAGAACAUGAAAAAUAGCAAUGGCUGCCAUUCAAAAUAUUUGGCCAGAACUGGCUUUUCCUAAUGAAUUGAAUCUUUUUUUUUUUUUAAAGCAACAAAUAUGUGCACAAUGGCUUUACAUGAAGUACUUAUUUUCAUGCUUUCCUGGCUAAAUGUAAAUUGAUAAUGAGUCCUUAUAGAAGCUCUGCCAAAAGCAUAUUAUACAUCAGCCCAAUGCGCGGCCUGGGUGUUGGGGCCUACAAUCUAUGGAUUGGGCCGUGUCAUCUGAGUUGCUUGAGGCACCCUUUCCCUCCCUGUCCCCGCUCUGAUUUUUAGCACAGCUCCAGCUCCAGCUCCAGCUCCAGCUUUCGCAGGCACCUUUACAGCAAGGCCCCAUUUUAACUCCCUCUGUCCUAGGCCCUCCUUUGCUGACUGGACCUGACUGAUAGUAAAGGAAGCCGCUCCUACUGGAAAAGCCCGGGGCUCUGGCAAGAGCUUGCUGUCCUCUGCAUCGGGAGCCAGCUUAGGCCUUUCUGACAGCCAGCAGGUGUCCAGGUCGACUUGCUCAUGGCCAACUGCACUGUUGAAAUCCAAAAGUCUAGGUAGAAACAAGAGAGUGUUUUCAAAAUUAGGAUAUCACAAACCAGUCCAUGAACCCAAGUCAUCUGAUAACUGUACAAUGAAAAUCAAUUAAAAACCAUGUAUAUAUUUCUCUUAGAGUAACCAAAGUGCCAAUCCUUCACUGUGACUCAGAGUCCAAACAUGCUAUCUUAAUAUUUCUUGUCUGAAGCUUCUGCUUGCAAUGGCACCCAGCCUAGCAUAUCCCCAUGUCAGACCCUGGCCAUUCCUGAGCACCCCCCAGGUCAGCUCCGAUGCCAUCGCCUCCUCCUGCAGCCUUGACUGGGCUGCCUCAGGGACACGUUUUUGUCUCUAGUUCCCAAGCGCUGCACAGUGACCUCCACGAAACACUGAUUUCUUGUUUACGUGCUUCCCCUUGCCAGGAGGUUGUGGGCUACGCUUGUCACAUGCACUUUCACUCUGCAGCUCCUGUGCUGUGUCCUGUGCCUGCGCACGUCCCCCUGGCACUUUCCCGGGCACAGCUGGGAACUCCACAGAAACGUUUCUGCUCUACCGAGUCCACAAACCCAUGACUUUCAGGAGCAUGAGGAUGCCUCAUGAAUGAAUGAAUGAAUGAAUGAAUGAAUGAACAGACAACUGGGGGAAUAAACAUAAACCUGUGCAAAAAUCUAAAAAAAAAAAAAAAAAAAAAAAAAAAAAAAAAAAAAAAAAAAAA
rnacentral:lncRNA from 1 species